rnacentral:rRNA from 1 species
AUUGAACGCUGGCGGCAGGCCUAACACAUGCAAGUCGAGCGAGCGGCGGACGGGUGAGUAAUGUAUGGGGACUGCCCGAUAGAGGGGGAUAACAACUGGAAACGGUAGCUAAUACCGCAUACUAUCGGAUAACCCAUAUGGGAUUAGCUAGUAGGUGAGGUAAUGGCGCACCUAGCCGACGAUCCCUCGCUGGUCUGAGAGGAUGAGCAGCCACACUGGGACUGAGACUCGGCCCAGCCUCCGACGGAGGCAGCAGUGGGGAAUAUUGCACAAUGGGCGCAACCCUGAUGCAGCCAUGCCUCGUGUAUGAAGAAGGCCCUAGGGUUGUAAAGUACUUUCAGUCGAGAGGCGUUAACGACAGAAGAAGCACCGGCUAACUCCGUGCCAGCAGCCGCGGUAAUUC